ACUAUGUAGUGGUUGUUGUUAGCUGCAGGUUACCACAUCGGAUUCUGAUUUUCAGAGUGGUCCAGAGUUAAUGCUGGCUAGGCUCAUUGUGUUGUGUUGUAGUGCAAGGUACUCUCACUCCGUAUUUGCUUCUCUUUACCCGAGUACCAACAAAUUUUCAGAGAAUCCUGACAAGAUGCUGUGUCGUCAGCUGCAGUAAACUGGUAAUAUUGAUGCUCCAGUCCGUUCAUGCUAUGAAUACCAGAGUUAAGCAGUUGCAUAAUAAGCAGUCUACUUGUAGCCUUCUAGUCACACAUAAAAAAAAACGUCACUUAUUAAAUAGUGGUCAGUGAAUGGCUGUGAGCUUGAUCUCUCAAUGGCCAGGUCAGAGUAAUGAGAUGUCAGUUUGAUGUUCAUGAGGAGCUCAAAGGCUGGCCUUUGCAUUCAUGGGAACUGUGAUGACAUCAGUCGUAACUCUGUAAAAGGAAUGUAUCAUUUGAUAAAUUGCAGAAGCCAUCUUCAGAAGACAGUGCAGAUAAUAGCAGUGAUCAAACACAGAAGUGGGCUGUGGCAAAUUCUAACUGUGCAGAUGCCAAAACAAGCCUUGAAUUCCUUUGCAAAGACUUGUCAUCUGAGCUAGCACACUUUGACUGGAGAAAAGAAGUAGAAUUACGUGAAAUAUUGACUGAAUACUCAGCACUCAGAUCGGAACACUUUGAAAAGGUCCAGAGUAAAUGGUUUGGUGUCAAACUCAUGGUGGAAGCACCAAUAGCUGCAGAGGUGCGAGCAAUCAAGUGUAUGGAGGAGUCCUGAUGAAAGAAAAUGUAAAAUGAUAAAACCCAACUGACUUGUCUGGCAUCCAGAUUGAUCUGAGUCCUCUUCACAAGUUCCAUAAUGGCAGAAGGGAAUAAAUAAUAAUAAUAAUAAUUAUUAUAAAAAUUAUAAUUGUAAUAAUAUAUGCAGUGCUCUUUUAUCUAAAAUAAUUAUAAAUGUAAGUGUAAAAAAGCCCAAAUGCAAUAGAAUAGCUAGCUAGGAACAGACAUUUAUUAUGUUAAGUAAUGGUAGAGUGUUAAAGCAAACCAAACUUCAAAUGAAAUGACCUUGUUUUUAGUUCUUCCUUCCCAAAUGGAGAAAAAUAAAAAUACUAGCCUGAGGUAAUUUCCUGUGUCUGAUCUUGCAGAAUAAGAACUUGCAAAUGAUUUUUAGCAUUUAAAUCAACUUCCAGAAUUCUUAGUUUGGUAAACUACUGUUGUUUUACAAUGCAGAGCCAUGCUUUGUCAAUAAACAUGGCUCUUGAAUAGAACAUAAUCUUCUUUGUUAUAACUGAUAAAAGUAAAAAAUAUUGUCAUGGUUUGUUAUGAUUUUUACUGUCAUAGGUUUUUAGACCUUUUCCAAGCAUUCAGUUAGCAGGGCUGUAGCUAGAAGAAACUUUUGACUGAGGUAAUGUCCAUGAAAACGUUCUGACUGAGGCAAUGUCCAAGGUUAAAUUCUCUUCCUUGGUAUUUAGGGUGUUUCUGAUGACUGUAAACAACAAAGAACAAAAUGACUGAGGCAAGUGCCUUGGUUUGCCUGAUACAAGCUACAGCCCUGGUUAGUUGGUUAACAUAGGCUGUAUGUUUUUAUCCUAACACAGCCCGUGUGUCCAUUCAUAGGGGUAAGGAGUGAGAGAGAAGCUAAAUACUCGGCAAGUUAGUUGUUGAUACAUGAAGUAGUUAAGAAAUUGGGAAUUAUUUGUACCUACACUGUACAGUUUCAAAUGAAUUAAAUGACCCGAAUUUAUAUUAAAUAAUAUAUUUACUAGUACUGGUAUUUUACAUAAUUUUAAUUAUUACACAUAAAAAUAAAUACAUGCUGCAGUUUUUCACAGUUCCAUUAAUUUAGUUUUUUAAUCCAUUGCUUGUUUUUAGAUAGUUUGAAGUACUUUAAAUUAGCUAUAAAACUUAAAACAAGAUAUCAUAGUUUAAUUUUUGUAGUAUGAAUUUAUAUUAAUUUUGUUAGAAAAUUAAUUGUACACUGCAUUGUACAAGUGUAAAUUCAUCAACUGUCUUUUUUUUGCAUUUCCCUGUACUUAGCAAGUCCAUCACCAAAUUAAUCUGGAAUGUAUUGAAUUCCAAGUCAUCCCAGGGCAGGAAAAAACCUAGGUUAGAUUGCCCGGGGCAAGUAAAUUUUGCUCUUGGGCAAGUGAAAAUGGAAGUUUAGUGGUCCGGUGGGCAAGUGAAAUUAACCUCAGUAGUCUUGUUAGUUGAUAAGGCAUAAACAUUGUGCACCUAUUGGGCAAAUAAUAUUUUAGUGGAGGCAACUUAAGACUGAAGUGAACUGGCCCACUGGAUUUCAAUUUUUUUUUUCCUGCCCUGCAUCUCAUGAUGAUAAUCAUAUCAACAAACAAGCAAUAAUUGCACGCUAAUUGCUUUUUUGCUGUGUGAUUGGCUGAGCAGUACAGAAAAUCAAGAGAGAGGUGGCAAAUAGUAAAUUUAUUUAUCAGCAUACCAUGUGGCGUAAAUAUCACCAUAGGCUCACAAAGUUUCAUAAUGAGAAAUAAAAGCCCACAAAACAUUA
rnacentral:lncRNA from 1 species